GGCUGACUUGGAGAGAUAGAUUUGAGAGUCAUCAGGCAACAGAUAUGAGAUUUUUCCCAUGACAGAAGGAAGAAUGAAGCCCUUCAGGUAGA
rnacentral:lncRNA from 1 species